AGCAGCAGCCGCGGGAAUACAGAGGGUGCGAGCGUUAAUCGGAUUUACUGGGCGUAAAGCGUGCGUAGGCGGCUAAUUGAGUCGGAUGUGAAAUCCCCGAGCUUAACUUGGGAAUUGCAUUCGAUACUGGUUAGCUAGAGUGUGGGAGAGGAUGGUAGAAUUCCAGGUGUAGCGGUGAAAUGCGUAGAGAUCUGGAGGAAUACCGAUGGCGAAGGCAGCCAUCUGGCCUAACACUGACGCUGAGGUACGAAAGCUUGGGGAGCAAACAGGAUUAGAUACCCCAGUAGUCCCUGUCUCUUAUAC
rnacentral:rRNA from 1 species